rnacentral:rRNA from 1 species
AUUGAACGCUGGCGGCAUGCUUUACACAUGCAAGUCGAACGGCAGCGCGGGGCAACCUGGCGGCGAGUGGCGAACGGGUGAGUAAUAUAUCGGAACGUACCCAGAAGUGGGGGAUAACGUAGCGAAAGUUACGCUAAUACCGCAUACGAUCUACGGAUGAAAGUGGGGGACCUUCGGGCCUCAUGCUUUUGGAGCGGCCGAUAUCUGAUUAGCUAGUUGGUGAGGUAAAGGCUCACCAAGGCGACGAUCAGCAGCUGGUCUGAGAGGACGACCAGCCACACUGGGACUGAGACACGGCCCAGACUCCUACGGGAGGCAGCAGUGGGGAAUUUUGGACAAUGGGGGGCAACCCUGAUCCAGCAAUGCCGCGUGAGUGAAGAAGGCCUUC